rnacentral:rRNA from 1 species
UGGGGAAUAUUGCACAAUGGGGGGAACCCUGAUGCAGCGACGCCGCGUGAGCGAUGAAGGUUUUCGAAUCGUAAAGCUCUGUCCUUGGAGAAGAUAAUGACGGUAUCCAAGGAGGAAGCACCGGCUAAAUACGUGCCAGCAGCCGCGGUAAUACGUAUGGUGCGAGCGUUGUCCGGAAUUAUUGGGCGUAAAGGGUACGUAGGCGGUUUAUCAAGUCAGAUGUUAAAGCGUGGGGCUCAACCCCAUAAAGCAUUUGAAACUGAUAAACUUGAGUAGUGGAGAGGAAAGUGGAAUUCCUAGUGUAGCGGUGAAAUGCGUAGAUAUUAGGAGGAAUACCAGUUGCGAAGGCGACUUUCUGGACACAAACUGACGCUGAGGUACGAAAGCGUGGGGAGCAAACA